rnacentral:rRNA from 1 species
GUACGGGAGGCAGCAGUCGGGAAUUUUGGGCAAUGGGCGAAAGCCUGACCCAGCAACGCCGCGUGAAGGAUGAAAUCCUUCGGGAUGUAAACUUCGCAAGAAUGGGAAGAAUUAGUAGGGGCUAAUACCCUCUAUGAUGACGGUACCAUUUGUAAGCUCCGGCUAACUCCGUGCCAGCAGCCGCGGUAAUACGGGGGGAGCAAGCGUUGUUCGGAUUUACUGGGCGUAAAGGGCGCGUAGGCGGCCAGCGCAAGUCAGUUGUGAAAUCUCCGGGCUUAACUCGGAAAGGUCAACUGAUACUGCGCGGCUAGAGUGCGGAAGGGGCAACUGGAAUUCUCGGUGUAGCGGUGAAAUGCGUAGAUAUCGAGAGGAACACCUGCGGCGAAGGCGGGUUGCUGGGCCGACACUGACGCUGAAGCGCGAAAGCCAGGGGAGCGAACGGGAUUAGAUACCCCAGUAGUC